AGCUAAUAGAUACCCUGGUAGUCCCAGCUGUAAACGAUGCAGACUCGGUGAUGAGUUGGCUACAUGCCAUCUCAGUGCCGCAGGGGAAGCCGUUAAGUUUGCCGCCUGGGGAGUACGGUCGCAAGACUGAAACUUAAAGGAAUUGGCGGGGAGCACCACAAAGGGUGAANGACCUGUCGGUUCUAAUUGGUAGUCAACGACCGGAAACUACGUUACCGGGGUCGGACAGCAGUGUGAAGGUACGAAGCUGAAGACUUUUACCAGACAAGCUGAGAGGAGGUGCAUGGCCGUCGCCAGCUCGUGCCGUGAGGUGUCCUGUUAAGUCAGGUAACGAGCGAGACCCCUCGCUCUAGUUGCUACUAUUAUUCUCAGGAGUAGUGGAGCUAAUUAGAGGGACUGCCGUCGCUGAGACGGAGGAAGGAGGGGGUCGUACGGC
rnacentral:rRNA from 1 species